CCAACGUGAAUACCCUAGGAGGUUACUCUCCUGGGCAAAGGGGAGCACAGGGCAGUGCCCCAUGAUGUAUGAUCCCUUACCACAACGUUGGAGGUAAAGCUGGGCUUUGAGUCUGCACCUGCAUAUUCCUCCAGCUUCUCAGUCCUGCGGACCAUGACAAGCCAUGCAGGAAACAUCU